UUUCCCUGAGGCCAUUCAGAAUACAGCCUUAAAACCGGAACAAUACAGAGGAGACUAGCAUGGCUCUUGCACAAAGAUGACACAAAAUGAGAAAAGGAGCAAGAGCUA
rnacentral:snRNA from 1 species